GCGACAAGACCUGGAGAUAUCAGAAGUGAGAAUGCUGACAUGAGUAGCGACAAAGAGUGUGAGAGACACUCUCGCCGAAAGUCCAAGGGUUCCUGCUUAAAGCUAAUCUGAGCAGGGUAAGCCGGCCCCUAAGCCGAGGCCGAAAGGCGUAGGCGAUGGGAACUAGGUUAAUAUUCCUAGGCCGUGGAGUGGUGACGGAUCUCAGAGGUAGUUCAUCCUUAUCGGAUUGAAUGGGCUGCUGAGAGGUUCCUGGAAAUAGCCCUCCUAUAAGACCGUACCCUAAACCGACACAGGUGGUCAGGUAGAGCAUACCAAGGCGCUUGAGAGAACGAUGUUGAAGGAACUCGGCAAAAUACCUCCGUAAGUUCGCGA
rnacentral:rRNA from 1 species